CAAUGACCUCCCAAAACAUGUUUCCUCUAAUAUUCGUCUUUGUGCUGACGAUUGCGUCUUAUACGACGUGAUUGAUUCCCCGAAUAGUUUUCAGCGAUUAAACGAUUCCUUUAUCUCUUUCAGUGCUUGGCGUGAAAAAUGGAAAAUGAACAUUAAUUUAAAAAAAACGGUUGUUUUGUCCUUCACGAAAAGAGCAGCACCUGUAAUUGCGACAUAUUCAUUGAAUGGGUCUCCUUUAACCAGAGUUCGACAAUACAAAUACCUUGGCGUAACAUUUACUCACAAUCUCUCAUGGACUACACACAUUGACCAAACAUGUUCAAAGGCCCUAAAACAGCUUGGAUACCUACGUCGUACUAUGCAAAAGGCUCCGAAAGCAACAAAACUUCUAAUGUAUAAAACUCUUGUUCGCCCCAUUAUCGAUUAUGCCGCAACAGUCUGGUCACCACAUAACCAAACCAACAUAAUCAAACUAGAAGCAGUUCAGAAAAAAGCCGUCCGUUUCAUUUUACAUCGGUAUAUGACCGCUAUUUUUCACCGUCGUCCGCCCUCCCAACGCUGAAUCUAACAUUACUUUCAGUACGUCGUGAUGUGUAAUCAUUAAAAUUUUUGCACAACAUAAUUAACAAGUCAUACCACACUUCAAACACAGCUUGCAUAUCUUUCACCAAGCCUUCUUGCACGCGUAAUUUCCACGAGCUUAAUCUUAACCCUCUCUAUGCCCGUACAAAUACCUUCAAGUACAGCUUCUUUCCCCGCACAAUAGAAGUAUGGAAUUCCUUGCCUGGCUGCGUUCGUUCACUCCCGGCCACAAAUCUUUCGUUUACGCGGAGAUCACCAUGGCUUGCCUCCAUUCCCUGGGAGAACUACUUUUAAUAUUUUUAAUCUAUUUCUAAGUGCACGUGCUAACUACCACUAGCAGUUUGUGUAAAUGCCGAGUUUUUUUUUCACUCUUAAAUGUAGAAUAUAUAAUUUGAAAGUAUAAUAAAUAUAGCUUGCAGAAAAACACCUCCAAA